rnacentral:lncRNA from 1 species
GCCAGCUGGCCGUUCUUGGUGAAGGUGGCUCCCUGGUUUGCAGACUGUGGUUUUCACACAGCACCUUUGCCUAGCGGAAAUGGGAAGCCUCGGGCCCUUCAUCCUAAUCCUGUCUUGGGCCUCCACCCUCAUUACCGCAUCUGAACCAUCUCAGUGGGGACUGGGUUUCAACACAGGCAUUUUGUGGUGGAUACAAACAUUCUGCUAUAGCGCAACUCGACAAUAAAAAACAUCCCAACUGUAAAGGAGCUGGAAAGGCAGAAAGCUAAGGAUUGAGGCCAUCAAGCUACAGAUGGACUUACAAAUGGAACCCCAAAUGAGUUCAACUCAAAACUUCUACCGAGGACCCCUGGAUUGACCCACUGGCUCUUUGGCUGGCCUAGAGAGUUCCCUUCUGAGGACACUACCACUGGAGGGCCCCGUCUUCACCCCUAUCCAGCAGGAAGUAGCUAGAGUGGUCAUUGGCCAAUUCCCAACAGCAGUGGGGUGUCCCGUUUAAAGGGGGGAUUGAGAGGUGAAGCCAGCUUGACUUCCUGGUUUGAGUGGGGACUUGGAGAACUUUUCUGUUUUACAAGAGGUUUGUAAAAUGCACCAAUCAGUGCUUUGUAAAAAUGCACCAAUCAGCACUCUGUAGCUAGCUAGAGAUUUGUAAAAUAGACCAAUUAGCACUCUGUAAAAUGGACCAAUCAGCACUCUGUAAAAUGGACCAAUCAGCAGGACAUGGGCAGGCACAAACAAGGGAAAAAAAGCUGGCCACCCCAGCCAGCAGUGGCAACCUAUGGGCUAAUGGCAGCAUACUCCAGGCAGCCUAGUCCUGUCCUCUUUGCUUCUUCUGCUUGGUUCCAUAUAAUUCAGCAUUUUUUUUUUGAGAUGGAGUCUCACUCUGUUGCCCAGGCUGGAGUGCAGUGGUGUGAUCUUGGCUCACUGCAACCUCCACCUCCCAGGCUGAAGCGAUUCUCCUGCCUCAGACUCCCAAGUGGCUGGUACUGCAGGCACAUGCCACCAUGCCUGGCUAAUUUUUGUAAUUUUAGUAGAGAUGGGGUUUCACCAUAUUGGUCAGGCUGGUCUUGAACUCCUGACCUCAGGUGAUCCACCUGCCUCAGCCUCCCAAAGUGUAAUUCAGCACUCUUCAAUUAUACAUAUUGAAAUAUGCAUUCAGAAAAGUACUUAAAUCAUAAAUAUGUACAACUCAAUUUUGAGUAUGUGAACAAGAAAGUAACCACUAUCCACAUAAAAAUGCAGAGCAGAUUAGCACCCAAAGCCUCCUUUGCGCCCACUCCUGGCUAUUACCUUCAAAAUGCUACCUAAUGAGAGGACUCAGAGUGCCAUAUAAAACUAUAAAGGUGACAACUGGAACAGAAAUUAAAAUCUUGCUAAAUAUUGGAAACAACAAUAAAAAGGAUUGAAAGGGAAAGAAAGAGUUAAUAUUGCUAUGGUUUGGAUGUGUGUCCCCUCUGAAUUUCAUGUUGAAAUGUGAUCCCCAAAGUUGGAGGUGGGACCUAGUGGAAGGUGUUUGGGGAUGGAUCCCUCAUGAAUGGCUUGAUGCCUUCCUGGAGGUAAUGAAUGAGUUCUCACUUUGUUACUUCAUAGAGAGCUGGUUGUUUAAAAGAGGCUGGCUCCUCUCUCUUGCUCCCUUUCUUGCCAUGUGACAUGCCUGUUUCCUCUUAGCCUUCUUCCAUGAGUAAAAGCUUCCUGAGGCCUCACCAGAAGCUGAGCAAAUGCCAGCACUAUACUUCCUGUGUAACCUGAAGAACCAUGAGCCAAAUAAACCUCUUUUCUUUGUAAAUUACCCAGCUUCAGGUGUU